UACAGAGGGUGCGAGCGUUAAUCGGAAUUACUGGGCGUAAAGGGUGCGUAGGUGGUUGAAUAAGUUAGGUGUGAAAUUCCUGGGCUUAACCUGGGGACUGCGCCUGAUACUGUUGAGCUAGAGUACUGUAGAGGAAAGUGGAAUUUCCGGUGUAGCGGUGAAAUGCGUAGAUAUCGGAAGGAACACCAGUGGCGAAAGCGACUUUCUGGACAGAUACUGACACUGAGGCACGAAAGCAUGGGUAGCAAACAGG
rnacentral:rRNA from 1 species